UACGUAGGGUGCAAGCGUUUGUCCGGAAUUAUUGGGCGUAAAGGGCUCGUAGGCGGUCUGUCACGUCGGGAGUGAAAACUCGGGGCUUAACCCCGAGCCUGCUUCCGAUACGGGCAGACUAGAGGUAUGCAGGGGAGAAUGGAAUUCCUGGUGUAGCGGUGAAAUGCGCAGAUAUCAGGAGGAACACCGGUGGCGAAGGCGGUUCUCUGGGCAUUACCUGACGCUGAGGAGCGAAAGCGUGGGGAGCGAACAGG
rnacentral:rRNA from 1 species